UACGUAGGGCGCGAGCGUUGUCCGGAUUUAUUGGGCGUAAAGAGCUCGUAGGCGGUGUGUCGCGUCGGUCGUGAAAACUUGGGGCUUAACUCUGAGCGUGCGGUCGAUACGGGCAUCACUUGAGUUCGGCAGGGGAGACUGGAAUUCCUGGUGUAGCGGUGAAAUGCGCAGAUAUCAGGAGGAACACCGGUGGCGAAGGCGGGUCUCUGGGCCGAUACUGACGCUGAGGAGCGAAAGCAUGGGGAGCGAACAGG
rnacentral:rRNA from 1 species